GCCCCAGUAACGGCGAGUGAAGCGGCAACAGCUCAAAUUUGAAAUCUGGCUCCCCCCUGGGGGGCCCGAGUUGUAAUUUGGAGAGGAUGCUUUGGGCGCGGCGCCUUCCGAGUUCCUUGGAACAGGACGCCAGAGAGGGUGAGAGCCCCGUACGGUCGGACGCCUAGCCCGUGCAAAGCUCCUUCGACGAGUCGAGUAGUUUGGGAAUGCUGCUCAAAAUGGGAGGUAAAUUUCUUCUAAAGCUAAAUACCGGCCAGAGACCGAUAGCGCACAAGUAGAGUGAUCGAAAGAUGAAAAGCACUUUGAAAAGAGGGUUAAACAGCACGUGAAAUUGUUGAAAGGGAAGCGCCUGUGGCCAGACGUGCGCCCCGCGGACCACCCGUCGCUCUGCGGCGGGGCACGCCGCGGCGGCGCAGGCCAGCAUCGGCUCUCCCAGGGGGACAAAGGCCGCGGGAACGUAGCUCCUUCGGGAGUGUUAUAGCCCGCGGCGCCAUGCCUCUGGGGGGGCCGAGGACCGCGCCUUCGGGCAAGGAUGCUGGCGUAAUGGCCACCAGCGACCCGUCUUGAAACACGGACCAAGGAGUCAAGCAUUGGGGCGAGUGUUUGGGUGACAAACCCGCACGCGAAAUGAAAGUGAACGCAGGUGGGAGCCUCCGGGCGCACCACCGACCGAUCCUGAAGUUUUCGGAUGGAUUUGAGUAGGAGCCUUGCCGCUUGGACCCGAAAGA
rnacentral:rRNA from 1 species